GCGUCUGUGUUUCACAGGACUCACCAUGACAGUCAGCGCUCCCUCACGGCCUUUGUGCUUUAUAAAGCAGGCAGUGACAUGUGCGCCAUGUCCAGCCAUGAGAUCAGACAGCUCGGGAACAGCAAGUGAAGGAGAGGAAGAUUGCAGCGAAGAAUGAUGCAGUUGCGAGUCUUUCCUGCUCACCACAAGAUGUCUCCUCUGCACGCAGGAAAGCCCCCAGUGGCUCACCCCAUGAGAGAAUAUAUGCAGCAUAUUCUGGAAGGGAUGGUGCUUGAAAACGCAUACAAACAGGCCUGCAGGACUCUCAAAGGACCCCUGUGGAGCUCCUCAACCUGUUUACAUAUCAAAAAGGUGGGAAAAUCUGCAGCCUGCCGGCCCUGCAGGAUUGUAGGUUUCUGAAGUUUGAUGAACUACAGCAUAUGAAGAAAAAUAUGAAGAAAGAUCACACAAUUGUGUGUCAUUCUUACUUGCGACAGGACCGUUUGUAAGUCACCCAAAGAGUUUGUUGGGUUCUGAGGGGUGUUCUGCCCUACCUUUGCAGGUACAGUCACAGUUUACCAUGUUAUUAUAAUGUAUGAUGUACUGAUGUUACCAUAUCAAUUGACCCCUCAGCUCCGUCUAACAACGAUGCUGCUGUUAUGACGACUGAGAAAUGUGCCUAUCAAGGAGCAGUUGUCCCCAAUGUUUUACAAACGUUAGCAUAAUAAUUGUUGAUGAAAAAGACAGAGAACAAUGCACCAUAUGAUGCAAACCAUGCCCAGAAUUUGAUUAAACCAGCUCCACAACCAAAGACUGAAGUGUUAACAAAAUGUCUGCAGCUAGCCAAAAAGCUUAGCUUCUGCCUCUGAAGUCUAACAGCAUCCAUAUUGUUCCAGCUGUAUCUGCUUACGAUUAAAGCUUUACUGCCUGUGUCUUCUUUAGUCUUUUAUCUUAGGCUCAUAAAAACAUGUAGUUCCUAAUUCUAGACCCUGUUGGAAGUUCCUUUAACUCUGACUCAGUAAUUCAUCAAUGGUUAUUCUUUUAAGCCCCCUCUUGAAGUACUUAAUGUUCCCAUCUUUGCAUCUAUUGCUUCAUUUGUACACAAGUGUUUUUGUUCAUAAUGUAUGUGUAGAAAUGGACAUAUUUAUGUGCAAUAACUGUAUCAGAUAAUUUAAGAAAAACCAUGAGUGCAGCAGGGAGAUUUUAUUUCUAAGAUCCUAUGAACUGCCAGCUGAAAAAAAUCUCCCCAAAAUUAAACAUGUCUACAAUAGUGUAUAACUGUGGCUACCAAUUUGAAGUUGUGAAUGUUAUGAUUGCCUCAGUGUUAAAUGCAGACAUCCCAGGGGGGUGAUAUUAUACACAUUUUUAUAAUAAUACAUGUCUUAAGUCGAAAGGCUGGCUAUCUGCCUUCUGUAACUUAAACAACCCUAGCAACAUGUAAAAGUAAGUAAGUGAUUUGAUAUUAAUAAUGUCUCUGGUGGUACUAUUAACAUGUCUGACUGUGCAACCUCUACAUAUUGAGAUUCUCACUCACUGAGAUUAUGCAAAGACUCCUAAUUGUAUCUAAUGUAUACAUAUACCGAUCAUGUGUUUUUGUAAUCCCAGGCAUAAGUGGAUGAAUCAGAUAAUAGAUGAAGGAGAGUAAAAAAAAAGAGACUUGAGCAGUUACAUGAUUCCCAGAUCUUAAAUACAUCCUAACAAGAACAUUAUUGUCUGCACCAGUAACCCAUCCAAUAGUUCUUUCAGACAUUAAUCUAAAAACCACAGAUGUUAUUGCUUUUAAAAAAUCAUUGCCGAGGCUCUGCUUGUCAACAGACAAGGCAGGCAACUGCUCGGGGUCCCAGACCAGUAGGGCCCCCCUAAGGGCUAACAGACUUAAACCAAAGCAGUGGACCAAAAUGUGCAAAUUUUGCAAUGACAGUCGGAAACCUCCCUGUGGGGGCACCCACUCUGGUUGGAGGGCCCCACAAUUCAUUUUUGCCUAGGGCCCCCACAGACCCUAGAAUCAACACUGUCUCAUUGUAAUCCUUAUUGCCCAAAUGAUUUGAAUGGCACAUACGAGGUCAUUAUGUAUCAGCAUUCUAAGUUCUUAUUCGUUUCUGAAUUUCUUUGGCUUUCAAAAAUUAAAUUGUAUUUGCAUGUGUUAUAAAUUCUUUGUUUUAAAGGUUUUACUUGUCCUCUUUUUCUAUCCUAAAUCUUGCAGGGUACCAGCUUUAUUUGUAUUUUCUGUUUACAAUCUUUUCAUUUGCUUAUGUCUGUAAGCACUUUCGUUAGCUCCCAUUGUUUGAAAAUAGUUACAGAUAAGUUUGACUGGACUUAACUUUACUCGACUUAAAUUUGGCCUUCAGGGAAAUAAAAUGUUUUGUUCAUGAAGUGAAUCAACCCUGAGCGUCAGCACACACUGUAUUUUAACAGUCUGUAGUUUUGGUAGAAAGGUGGUGUUUCCAGUCUGAGUACAUCCAGCCCUCUCACUUCCCUCUCCAGAUGUUUCCAGGUCACAGACAACAUGUUCAGAGACAGACUAAAACAUCACUCGGGGUAAAGAAGUCACAGGAGGGCAGGGCAGCAGGGAAAGUGCUUCCUCAGUCCUCACUUCAAGGCCACUUGUCAUGGAAAACAAAAGUGACAGACCUGCUAUCAAACUUUUAGGUCAUUUUUGGGAGAAAAUUACACUUUUUUUUUUUUUUUAGCUUGAAUGGACUUGGUAGUAAUUUGAUGGAACAAAAUUAACAUUAUUGCAAUAAACUUGUAAUAAAAUAAUAAAUGAAGACACAGGAGCAUAAGGGACAUCUUUAACAGUUCAUACAGAUAUCAUAGACCAACACUUAGUUACUUAUCUCAAUCCCUCGUUUUAUUGAAUUGUUGUGUGGAGUUUAAUAACACAACUGAACUCUGACUGGCCUGAGUCACACAACAACGAUCUGUCCGCACAACAAUGACUCCGACAGCGACACACAGCCUCGAUACAAGCACAUCUGUCACACAGAGAUCAAUAAAAACUGGGGUUAGAUCUGAGGAAACAGAUUAAGGUUCAGUAUCUGGAAGAGGGCGGAUUAUUGAUUUUAGACAAAUUACCCCCAGAGACAUCCUGCCCUUUCAGAAGAGAGUCAAACCACCUUUAUACCAAAUGGAAAGUAGAAAUUCAAUAAGUCUUACUGGAAGACAUUAACUAAUCAUGUUGUUGUACUGCUUAUUUACAAAAAGCCUCCAAAAUAGGCUUGUAUGUACCCAUUGAAGAUUUUAAAAAAAAACAUACUAAAGGUUAA